rnacentral:rRNA from 1 species
GAUGAACGCUGGCGGCGUGCCUAAUACAUGCAAGUCGAGCGAACAGACGAGGAGCUUGCUCCUCUGACGUUAGCGGCGGACGGGUGAGUAACACGUGGAUAACCUACCUAUAAGACUGGUAUCACUUCGGGACACCGGAGCUAAUCCCGGAUAAUCUAUUGAACCACAUGGUUCAAUAGUAAAAGACGGUUGUUCUGUCACUUAUCGCUGGAUCUGCGCCGCAUUAGAUAGUUGGUAAGGUAACGGGUUACCAAGGCAACGAUGCGUAGCCGACCUGAGAGGCGGAUCGGCGGCCUGGGAACUGGAACAGGGUCCAGAGGACUACGGGACGCAGCAGUAGGGAACCGGCGGCAAUGGGCGAAAGCAUGACGGAGCAACGCGGAGUGAGUGAUGAAGGUCUUCGGUGCGUAAAACUCUGUUAUGAGGGAAGAACCAAUGUGGAAGUAACUAUGCCCGUCGUGACGGUAACUAAUCAGAAAGCCACGGCUAACUACGUG